ensembl:lncRNA
GGAGCGGAGGGGAGGAGCUGGCAAGGCAUUGACAUGAUUAACAAACAUGCUUUAAGAGCUUGUUGCCAUAGACAAAUUCUGCCUUUUGGAGAAGAUGUGUCAAACCCACUCCUCUAAGCCUUUCCUCUGGAAUCACACCACAAGGCUAUUUUAUUUGCUUUGGGCCACAGCUGUUGACUCAAGGAGAUGUUGUCAACUGUUGUCUUUCCUGUUGCAAAGCUCAUUUGGCGGCUGAGCCAUUUUUCAGGACUGGGCACCUAAAGAUGGAUGUAGAAGAGAGGAAGCUGGAGAGUGCAGACAGCCAGACAUUUGAUAAGUCAGCUUCCCCAGGGCCAGGUGCUUUAGGAUUAAGGAGCAGGCCCCAACUUGUUUCUCCUACAGCUGUGCCGUAGCUCAAUCCCAGCGUGGCCGCCACCUCAUCCAUCCCAAAGAAGACCCAAGGGGGGCUUUCGGCCCUCCGUUUCAACCACUGAUACUCCAGUUGCUGUUUCCUAACAAGACAUGCUGCCUACUGUUUCGAACUCCCAAGCGGCCAAGUCACAAGGACAGUAUGGAUCUGCUUCACCUCAAGUUCUGGGGCAGAGACCUUCUCCAGCCUGGGGCCCUGGACGUAAUCAGCAGCAGUCAUUUCUCGGGCUACGAUUACUGACUGCAAUCCCAUGAGACGUGCAGUGACUGCCCUCAAGGCUGGCUGCCACUAGCAACUGUAGCUGAUGAUGCCUAGACCAGGCUGCUCCGAACUCUACAAGCCUGGUUCCAUCUGCAACCCACAACCUCACCCGAGUGCCCCUGAGGUACCCCAGGGAACAUUUUAUCAUCACCAAAAUCACCUCAGCAGAGACAGGCUCAGGAGGUUGCCCUGACCUGCAGAUAGGAAGGUUGCCUGGCACAGUUUUUCACAUCGUGUGUGUUUCUACCUUCUGUUUCUCUGUAUGUAGAACUACAGUAGUUCACAACUUGAAACCUGCUUCAACUUGUUUCUACUUGACUCCUUUUAACAGUAUGUCUUUUUAUUUUCUGAAUUUCAGGGAUGCAGCUUUCUAAUUGGACAUCUGUGUACAUUACAAAGUGAUCACCACCACAAGUCUGGCUACCACCCAUGGCCAUACAGUUGGACCCUUCACCCAUUUUUACCUACCUCCAACCCCCUUCUCGUCUGGUCACCACUAGUCUGUCUCUGUAUCUAUUUGUUUGUUUGUUUGUUUUUUAUUUUGUUUAUUUGUUUUGGUUUUUUAGAUUCCACAGAUGAGUGAAAUCACACCGUAUUUGUCUUUCGCCACUUGACCUUAUUUCACUUAGCAUAAAUACCCUCAACGUCCACCCAUGUUGUCACAAAGGGCAAGAUUUCAUUCUUCUUUAUGGCUGAGUAAUAUUCCAUUGUAUAUGUAUAUACCAUAUCUUCUUUAUCCAUUCAUCUAUCAAUGACAUAUUUAGGCAAUGUCCAUAUCUUUGUUCUUACAAAUAAUGCUGCAGUGAGCAUAAAAGUACAUCUGUCUUUUCAGAUUAGUGUUUUUGGACUCUUUGAAUAAACACCCAGAAGUGGAAGAGCCA